UAGAACGCUGAAGGAGGAGCUUGCUUCUCCGGAUGAGUUGCGAACGGGUGAGUAACGCGUAGGUAACCUGCCUGGUAGCGGGGGAUAACUAUUGGAAACGAUAGCUAAUACCGCAUAAUAGCAGUUGUUGCAUGACAACUGUUUAAAAGGUGCAAUUGCAUCACUACCAGAUGGACCUGCGUUGUAUUAGCUAGUUGGUGGGGUAACGGCUCACCAAGGCGACGAUACAUAGCCGACCUGAGAGGGUGAUCGGCCACACUGGGACUGAGACACGGCCCAGACUCCUACGGGAGGCAGCAGUAGGGAAUCUUCGGCAAUGGACGGAAGUCUGACCGAGCAACGCCGCGUGAGUGAAGAAGGUUUUCGGAUCGUAAAGCUCUGUUGUAAGAGAAGAACGAGUGUGAGAGUGGAAAGUUCACACUGUGACGGUAUCUUACCAGAAAGGGACGGCUAACUACGUGCCAGCAGCCGCGGUAAUACGUAGGUCCCGAGCGUUGUCCGGAUUUAUUGGGCGUAAAGCGAGCGCAGGCGGUUAGAUAAGUCUGAAGUUAAAGGCUGUGGCUUAACCAUAGUACGCUUUGGAAACUGUUUAACUUGAGUGCAAGAGGGGAGAGUGGAAUUCCAUGUGUAGCGGUGAAAUGCGUAGAUAUAUGGAGGAACACCGGUGGCGAAAGCGGCUCUCUGGCUUGUAACUGACGCUGAGGCUCGAAAGCGUGGGGAGCAAACAGGAUUA
rnacentral:rRNA from 1 species